AAGCAUGGGCGGUACUGGCUUGGCGAUGGCGUUCUCGAUUCCACCCAGGUUCCCUCCCUCUCCCAGAUCCGAGCUGAAACCCCGAGCGGAGGCCCGGCCAUACGCCAACGGCCGUCCCGUUCACAGCAGAAGAUUGUGGCACUCGAGGCCGAGAACAAGAGGCUCAAUGAGGAGGUAGCAAACCAUGCCAAGCAGCUGGCUGAAAUUAAGGCGUUCCUCCAGAGUCAGAAUGGGGGGGCUUUGUUCAGUCCUCAUGCGAGUCCUUCUCAGUCAACCGUGGGUUCGAAUAUCCCACCUCAACUGCAAGCAGGCGACCGAUCUACGUCUUCGCCAGGCCAUGCCAGGCAAAUUGCUUCACCAGACGACUAGUUUCCCGUCAACCUCUAGUUUGCUUUCCCUUUUCGCCGCUUCAUGGACAUGUAUUGGACAUAUUAUGCUUGUGUGAGACAUGUUUCGUUUGAUGGACAUGUUA